GGAUGUGAAGGCCAUCUUGCUGCAACACUGUCAACCGACUGAUUGUCAGGGUGGUUCAGCUGAUCUGGUUGGAUAGGCAGGUAUCUCCUUUCUCCCUCACCACUCCAUCUUCUUCCCUUUAGAAGAUGCAAGCUAGGUGGAAAAGGAUGACCCUCCCUGAAUAUAGAUAAACAGGUCUUAGGUAGAGGGUAAACAAGUAGCUGUGCUCCCCUACUAGAACUUCAAACAAGCUUGAAUAUGAUGUUGGCUAUGGGCUUGCUGUACAGAGGCUCAACUAGAUUGAGAAAUUAUCUACCUAUCU
rnacentral:snRNA from 1 species